GCCUCCCGGAUCAUGUCGAUCACCUCCAUCACCGACGACUCCAGCACCUUCUUGCUCGUCCCGGACAUCUUCACGGGGAAGAUGGAGUUGCCGUAGUACCCGGCGUCCAGCUUCAGCAGGUGGCGCACGCUGGCGAAGAAGCACAGCUUCACCGUGGCGUCCGGCUCCAGGUUCAGCGCCCGGGUACGGCACUGCCACAGCUUGGCCGUCAGCACGUCGAAGCCGGAGCAGAACUUGCCGCUGUGCGCCUUGUACUGCGUCUUGAGCCCGUCGAUGUAGCCCGUGGGGAAGUCGAGCACGAUGUAGUCCAGCGCCAGCACCGGGAGCUCCGGGAGAGGGCCCGGCUUGAUGCUCGGGUUGGGGAACUUCUCCCUGUCCCACACCGGCUUCACCGUCGGCUCCGGGAGCCCCCGGGCCAUGUCGCCGACCGCCUUGAUGAACUGCGCCGCGCCCAUGCCGUCCGCCGACGCGUGGUUGAACCGGAGGCCCAUCACGAACCCGCCGCAUGUGAAUUUCGUGAUCUGGAACCAUGUGAUACAAGUUACAAAUGUCAGCACUGGAUCUGCUCUAGUACCAAACUGUUGUCAAAAAAAGCUUUUAAGUGAACCAUUCCCCCGUUUCAUACUCCUAUUUGUUUAACUAACAUCCGGUGGAUGCUCCCAUGAUUUCCGUGGGCUGUCCUCAUGCUUUUAAAAUGAACUGACAAUCAUGGGCACUUUGUGCCGAACCAUGCAUGCCACGGCGCGGGCAACAGGGAUGCACGAACGAAACACCAAAAGAAAGCUUGGCGAGCUGUCUCCAUGCUCGACGAAGAUCGAUCCUCUCCAUUCCACCAGCACCUGUCGGUGGGCAACAACAGCAAAAGCAGGGGAAUGGAUGGGCUCUCCAACGAAAACCCUUGGCUUCGAAGCGAACACAUAAGUACAUACAUUCAGACACACACCACCUAAUCUUAUCUGGCAAGGACGGCACCUGCAGGCAUAACCUGGCAGUACAUCUCCGGCUGUCACCGCAUAACAAUAACAAUAAUUAAGCUGCAAGCCUGAAACCAGCCCCGAUUAUUUAAGACAAGAAGAUGAAGCGAGAUCGCCAUCAUCCCUAGGGUCAAAGCUCAGUACGCCCGGUGGUCAAAAUUCGGCAGCUCCGGUCUCUCGUCCCAUGGCGAUCACUUUCAUCACCGGAAUGAUGGACGGAAUCCUCCGGUGCGUGGCGUACGUACCUACUGCGCACGCGAGUGCGGUUCUACCGAACCACCCGUAACCCGCUGGACACCACCACCGUACCAUCUUCCCCACCCAUAAAAGUCGCGAUUGGUCGCACGUACCGUCGCAGGCAGCGGCGGCAUUACGCAUACACAACCCGCAACAGAACAAAAUUGCAGUGACGCAGUGGCGACACCUCGCCUGAAACGCCAGGAGAACGCCUGGAUUUCACGAGCUCGCCCCGCCGGCGGCCGCCAUUCCUAUCGGUUCCUGGCAGCACCGGCGACGGGACCAUUCAGCCUACUUCCAAUGGCGUCACAGUGAAGAAGCACGUCAAGCACGAAAGUGGAAACCAUGCCGUUGCUAAUCACGGCAGUACGGUUCACACUGCGCAGACACGCAUCACGAGCUCUCUGCUUCAUCACUCGGGGUAACUCCGGCCACGUCUAACUCCGGGUAGCCGUUAACCGCUCCAGGCGACGUCGUAAUCGCUUUUUACGAAGACCGGUGACGGGCUGACGCCGGCGGGGCCCACGUGACAGCCUCCUCGACCGACACCGUCAACAAAUCGUCUCCACCCGUCACUACCCACCCAUGACGCGUCGAAGGGGAAAAAUGGGAGAAGCUUCCCACCACGACGCCAUCCAUCCAUCCAUCCAUCCAUCAGCUGGCUGGCCGGCCAUCUUCUGACCUGUCGGCUGUCGCCCCUGCUCCCCAGAUCUACCCCCGCGCGCACGGAUCUACCUCUCUCUACUCUCCCCGGAUCGAUGCGCCGGCGACUGAUUUAGCUUAAGAAUCACGGUGGCCGGCCGGCCGGCCGCCGGUAGCGUCACUGAUGUGGAGCAUGUAUAUGUACCUGCAUCAUCAUGAUGGUGUUGUGGGGCUCGACGGCCCAGAGAUCGGCGGCGGGGUAGGGGACGAGGUCCUCCUUGGGGAGCAGCAGGGGGCGCUCCAGGAACCGGACGUCCUCCAGGCUGCACUCGGCGACGGCCUCCGCGAAGUAGACGCCGUCGGCGGUGCAGCGGAUGGCGGGGCACCCCUUCUCCGGCUGCUCCACGAUGCGCCCCGCCAGCGGGUAGAAGAAGGCCAGCG
rnacentral:lncRNA from 1 species